rnacentral:rRNA from 1 species
AAGCCGAUCCCAGUCCGGAUUGGAGUCUGCAACUCGACUCCAUGAAGUCGGAAUCGCUAGUAAUCGCGGAUCAGCUAUGCCGCGGUGAAUACGUUCCCGGGCCUUGUACACACCGCCCGUCACACCAUGGGAGUGGGUUGCUCCAGAAGGCGUUAGUCUAACCGCAAGGAGGACGACGCCCACGGAGUGGUCCAUGACUGGGGUGAAGUCGUA